UUUUUUUUUUUUUUUUUUUUUUUCUUUUGAGAUAGGGUCUUGCUCUGUCACCCAGCCUGGAGUGCAGUGGCACAAUCAUGGCUCACUGCAGCCUCGUCCUCCUGGUCUUAGGUCAUUGAUUCUCCCACCUCAGCCUCCCGAGUAGCUGGGACUACAGGCAUGAACUACCAUGCCUGGCUAAUUUUUUUGAUUUUUAGUAGAGAUGAGGUCUCUUGAGCUCAAACUCCUGAGUCUCAAACUCUUGAGCUCAAGCAAUCCUCCUGCCUCGGCCUCCUAAAAUGUUGUGAUUACAGGUGUGAGCUACCACGCCUUGCCUGAGUUGAUCUUCUACAAGAGUUCAAACAAAAAACAGACCAUACCGGGAUGAUCACUUCAAACAUGAGGAUGGGAAUAUGCUGACGUCAGACACAGGGUUGAUGUGAGACCUACAGAGAAUACAUAUAAAGCAUCAGACAUGAAGUCCAGCACAUAGUAGGUAUUGAAUAAAUGGCAGUGAGUGGUCAUGUCCAGAAAUGGAGCCAAGAAGUUGAGCCUGGACUGCUAAGAAUCUGGUCUGAAGAAUUUCGAAAAGGAGAAUGGUUCUCCCUGAUAACAAAUAGUGAUGAGUAAAACCUGACAAAUUACAUAUGCCUCCCCCAAAUAUGUAAGUUUGGAAUCAACUCGGUGGUUUUCUUCAGAGAAAAAAUGUUUCAUGUCUGCCUCCCACAUUUAAUUCUCCAACGUCUUCCUGAAAUUAUUUCAGAAUGAAAUGAAGUAGCAUACUUGAGGUUAAAUUCAAUAAAAAAUAUCUGAAGCAUAAAAAUACAAUUAUAGACUUGACAGUAGUUUUUUCUCUCUGAGUUUGUAGAGCUUGAUAGAGUUUAUGCUAAGCAAAAUGACUGCAGAUAACUAACAACAGGUCUCAUAUUAGACUUUUAUUUUUGAAGCAUCAUAAGCUAUUUUUCUUUUUCUCAAACAUAGAGUUUACUUUUUAGAGCAGUCUCUGUGGGUUUUGACAAAUGUAUGACAUAUAUCUGCCACUGUAGUAUCACACAGAAGAGUUUCACUGCCCUAGAAGUUUCCUGCGUUCUGCCUGUUCCCUGUCUCUCCCCAAAUCCCUGCUGACCACUGAUCUUUUUACUGUCUCCCUAGUUUUGUCUCCAUCGAAGCUCAUAUAGUUGGAGUCAUACAGAGUGUAGCUUUUUCAGAUUUGCUUCUUUCACCUAGUAGAUCAUAUGCAUGUAAGGUUCCUCCAUGUUGUUUUAGUUAGGUUUUUGUGGCUCGAUAGUGUUUAGCACUGAAUAAUAUUCUGUUGUCUGAGCACCACAGUUUAUGCACUCACCUACUGAAGGAUAUCUUGGUUGCUUACAAGGUUUGGAAAUUAUGAAUAAAGCUGCUACAAACAUCUGUGUGUAGGUUCUUUGUGGAUAGACGUUUUUAACUUAUUUAUGUAAAGACCAAAGAGCACAAUUGCUGGAUCAUAUGCCAGGAGUCUUCUGAGAAACUACCAAACUGUCUUCCAGAGUGACUGUACCAUUUUGUAUUCAAACAAGCAAUGAAUGAGAGUCCCUGUUGCUCCGCAUCUCCACCAGCAUUUGAUGUUGUCAGUGUUGGAUUUUGGCCGUCCUAAUAGGUGUACAAUGGGAUCUUGUCGUUGCUUUAAUUUGCAUUUCUUUGAUGAAGUAUGAUGUGGAGCAUCUUUUCAUGUGCUUAUUUGCCACCUGUAUAUCUUCUUUGGUGAGAUGUCUUUCAGGUUUUUUGCCCAUUAUUUAAUUGGGGUUAUUCAUUUUCUUAUUGUUGAAUUUUAAGAGUUCUUUGUAUAUUUCAGUUGUGUUCUUUAUCAAAUAUGUCUUUUGCAAAUAUUUUCUGUCAGUCAGUGGCUUGUCUUCUCAUUUUGUUUUAAGCUAUUCUUUUUUAACAGCUGACUUGAGGUCGUAUCAAAUUGUUGGUUUUGUUGUCCUGAGAGACCAAAUUCCCUAUUUUCUUCAUUAGAAUCUCAUUAAAUCUCAUUUGCU
rnacentral:lncRNA from 1 species